CGACAGCAGGCAGAGAAACCGCAGGAACGAAUCUUUUUUGUUAAGCACCCGGGAAUUGAUUUAUCUUGGUAAAAGAAUGUUGCAGAUUUUCAACCAUUUUUAAAAGAAAAAUUUCAACAAAAUUAAUAUCAAAAGUGAAAUAUAUGGAGAAAAGAACAAAAUUUGUCUGAUUCUAUACAAUUUGAGAAAAGGAUUAAAUUUUGUUCUUCAAAGCAAUCAGCAGCAGACAUAAUAAAUAAUCGCUCAAGAGGAGAUGGCAAAAAUAUUUUAUAUCAUCAGUUGACAAAGUAAGCUGUGGAAAAUACUACAAAUUCAUAAAAAAAAACAUAUGGCCGCUUAUAUUUCUUAAAAGAAUUGAUCAUCUAUUAAAUUUAGAAGAAGAAAAAAAAAAGUUACCAACAACUGAUGAUGAACUAACAAAAUCAAAAGAAAAUGAUGAAAAUCUAAAAUUCUAUUCAUGUCGUUAUUGUAAAAAUAAUUUUGGAACAAUAUCUGGAAAAACACGACAUGAAAAUAAAUGUCAACAGAAUCCAAUAACUAAUAAAGAAAAAAUAAAUUCAUUAUUUACUUGUGACAAUUGUAAUUAUAAUUUUAAUUGUCUAGGCUUUCUGAAAAGACAUAAAAUCUAUGAUUGUGGAAUUAUACACAAAUGUGAAAUAUGUAAUCAAAUUUAUUCAACACGAAAUAUUUUAAUGCAACAUAUUAAAAGAGUACAUGAUUAAAAAGUGAUAAUUUAAAAAAAAAAUUUUUUAAAUAUGAUUUUCAAUACUUUUUGAAGGUCAAUUCUAAAAAGUACAAAAGAAUCGAGUUGAAAAUCAUAAUUCAUAUUUUAUACAAUACAUAUAUAUCAACACACUGUGCCAUAAAGAAGUGAUAUUUUUUUUUAACAAAAAAAAAGUAAAUCAUUUCAAAUAAAAAGAAAACAUCCACGAUUGUUUGUUAAAAAUGCUGAGUAUCUAAUUGCAUCACAAAAAAUUCCAAUAAGAACAAAAAAAAAUUUUACAUGUCGUUUUUGUAAAAUAAAUUUUGGACGUCUAAAUGGAAAAACGCAUCAUGAAAAAAUAUGCACACGAAAUCCAACGAGUAUUCAACCGAAAGAACUUUUUUCAUUCAGUUGUAACGAUUGUGGUUGUAGUUUUAAACAACAAUGGCAAUUAAAAAGUCAUAUAGCAAAUGAUUGUGGUGUGUCGCAUACAUGUCAUAUAUGUAACAAAAGUUAUUCAAGAAUACAAAAUUUACGGGCACAUUUUCGUAAAGGACUUUGUAAAAAAUAGUCCUUAAUCAAUUUCAUUUACUUUUUGUUCCCUUACAAAUUAGAGUUAAUUUUUUAGAAACUAUAGUUUUUUUCGAGAAAGAAAUAUAUUUUUAAUUUUAACUAGAAUUUCUAUUUAUUGACAUCAAAUAUAUACUUGAAGUGAUGAUAAAAUUAUUAUUUUUUAAAGACAAAAGACUUUUAAUGAUAAUGUAAUUUCGGCUGUCAAAAUAAAAUGCGAAACUAACCUCAAUUAUUGAUCCAGAAACGUAACAUUAAGGGGUACCGAAAUAUUUAUCUUCUAAUAAUAUGUAUUAAUAAUUGAAUAAUUUACGUUAUCUUUAUCGUUUUUUUUAAAUUAUAUAUAAAUAAAUAUAUAGACUGUAAAAAAUUGUCACGUUUAUUAAUUAUUUUAAGGAAAUUUAAAGCAGGCACGAGCGAAACUUUUUUUGCUUCGCACCUGUUGUAUAAAUAAAAUUUCUGAUGAUGGCAAUUGGUUGUGACAUACGAAAUUUGUACAAAAUUCAUUCCUAGUUAAUUUAAAUAAAAGAAAAUAAAAAAAAUGUUUGUCAAUAAGCAUUGUCGUGUCUACCUUUAAGUUUUUAUGAUUUUUAUUUUUAUUUUUAAAACGUCAAAUUUUUUAUUUGACCAAAAAUGUAAAUGUUCAAAUAAAGAUCUUAACCUACAAAAAUA